AACGAACGCUGGCGGCAUGCCUAACACAUGCAAGUCGAACGAGACCUUCGGGUCUAGUGGCGCACGGGUGCGUAACGCGUGGGAACCUGCCCUUAGGUUCGGAAUAACUCCCCGAAAGGGGUGCUAAUACCGGAUAAUGUCUUCGGACCAAAGAUUUAUCGCCUUUGGAUGGGCCCGCGUUGGAUUAGCUAGUUGGUAGGGUAAAAGCCUACCAAGGCGACGAUGCAUAGCUGGUCUGAGAGGAUGAUCAGCCACACUGGGACUGAGACACGGCCCAGAAUCCUACGGGAGGCAGGAGUGGGGAAUAGUGGAAAAUGGGGGAAAGCCUGAUACAGCAAGGACGGGUGAGUGAUGAAGGCCUUAGGGUUGUAAAGCUCUUUUAAACGGGAUGAUAAUGACAGUACCGGGAGAAUAAGCUCCGGCUAACUCCGUG
rnacentral:rRNA from 1 species